rnacentral:ncRNA from 1 species
CCCGCUUAGUUUAAGCAUAUCAAUAAGCGGAGGAAAAGAAACUUACCAGGAUUCUCCUAGUAACGGGGAGCGAAUGGGGAAUAGCCUAGCUUGAGAAUCGGGUGCCCUCGGCGUUUGAAUUGUAGUCUCGAGAAGCGUCCUCAGCGGUGGAUCGGGCCCAAGUCCCUUGGAAGGGGGCGCUAGAGAGGGUGAGAGCCCCGUCAUGCCCGAACCAUGUCGCACCAUGAGGCGUUGUCUACGAGUCAGAUUGUUUGGGAAUGCAGCCUAAAUUGAGCGGUAAAUUCCGUCCAAGGCUAAAUACAGGCGAGAGACCGAUAGCGAACAAGUACCACGAGGGAAAGAUGAAAAGGACUUUGAAAAGAGAGUCAAAGAGUGCUUGAAAUUUUCGGGAGGGAAGCAGAUGGGUGCUGGCGAUGCGCCCCGGUCGAAUGUGGAACAGCCAAAAGCUAGUCUGCCGAUCGGCUCGGGUUGCGGACCGACGCGGAUUGCAGCGGCAGCCCAAGCCCAGGCUUUUGAAACGCCUGCGGAGAUGUCGUCGCAGUGAUUGUAAACUGCAGGUCACACCGUCACGGCGUGCUUUGGCACCUGCGCGCUCUGUGCAUCGGCCAGCGAGCUCGCCAUUCGGCCUGUCUUGAAACACGGACCAAGGAGUCUGACAUGUAUGCGAGUGAACGGGCGAGUAAACCCAUAAGGCGUAAGGAAGCUGACUCGUGGGAUCCCCUUGUGGGUUGCACCGCCGACCAACCUUGAUCUUCUGAGAAGGGUUCGAGUGAGAGCAUGCGUGUCGGGACCUGAAAGAUGCUGAACUAUGUCUGAGCAGGGCGAAGCCAGAGGAAACUCUAGUGGAGGCCCGCAGCGAUACUGACGUGCAAAUCGUUCAUCUGACUUGGGUAUAGGGGCGAAAGACUAAUCGAACCAUCUAGUAGCUGGUUCCCUCUGAAGUAUCCCUCAGGAUAGCUGGAGCUCGGGACGAGUUCUAUCGGGUAAAGCCAAUGAUUAGAGGCAUCGGGGGUGCAACGCCCUCGACCUAUUCUCAAACUUUAAAUAGGUAAGACGGCAUGACUGCUUCCUUAAGCCGAGCCACGGAAUCGAGAGCUCCAAGUGGGCCAUUUUUGGUAAGUAGAACUGGUGAUGCGGGAUGAACCGAAAGUCGGGUUAUGGUGCCCAACUGCGCGCUAACCUAGAACCCACGAAGGGUGUUGGUCGAUUAAGACAGCAGGACAAUGGUAAGGAGUGUGUAAUAACACACCUGCCGAAUCAACUAGCCUUGAUAAUGGAUGGCGCUUAAGCGCGCGACCUAUACCCGGCCGUUGGGGCAAAAGGCAGGCCCCAAUGAGUAGGAGGGUGCGACGGUCGCUGCAAAACCCAAGGUGUGAGCCCGGGCGGAGCAGCCGUCAGUGCAGAUCUUGGUGGUAGUAGCAAAUAUUCAAAUAAGAACUUUGAAGGUCGAAGAGAGGAAAGAUUCCAUGUGAACGGCACUUGCACAUGGGUUAGUCGAUUCUAAGAGACGGGGGAAGCCCGUUCGACAGAGCGUCCGGUCGCGAACUUUGAAAGGGAAUCGGGUUAAAAUUCCCGAACCGGGAUAUGGCGGCUGACGGCAACGUUAGGGAGUCCGGAGACGUCGGCGGAGGCCUCGGGAAGAGUUAUCUUUUCUAUUUAAUAGCCCGCCCACCCUGGAAACGACUCAGUCGGAGGUAGGGUCCAGCGGCUGGAAGAGCACCACACGUCAUGCGGUGUCCGGUGCGCCCUCGGCAGCCCAUGAAAAUCUGGAGGAACGAGUGCCAUCCACGCUCGGUCGUACUCAUAACCACAUCAAAUCUCCAAAGUGAACAGCCUCUGGUC